rnacentral:lncRNA from 1 species
AAUGAACCUGGUGUUAUAGCAUCACCCAGCUGAACAGAGUUUUAUGACAGAAUUGGAAUAUUUGUUGUUUACCAUUAGCACAGCAGCAUGAGCCCGACCGGGGAAGUUUCUGUGAAAAGUUACAUUUUUGGGAUUGCACCUACUCAGCGAACAGUUGAAUCCCUCACUUUUUUUUAGUUGAGGUUAGAAACCGAACUAACUCCAGGCUAUUUGGACCAAGUAAGAUUUUUAUACACCUUCUAAGCUCUUCUUGAUCAUAAAAUGUCAUCUUUUAUGUGCUGCCAUUUGCUAUAUAACUUCUGAUCCAACAUUUUGAAGGUUCACCCCCACACACAUAGGAGUUUACUUUACAAGAACUUCCACAGUUACCCUUAUAACACAUAAUUAUGGCAUCAAUGACAUUUGGCAUGUGAGCCUUCAUGAGUUGUAGGUUCCCCCUAUGAAUUGAAAAACCAGUAUUUAACUCAGCUACACAUCUAGCUUUUAUAUCAAGAGCAAAGCGACUCUUCUCAUUUUGCUUACGAGAUCCUGAGAACAUAAUUUCACUAAACAUGCAUUUCAUAAUGGCCCUUUUUAAACUUUGAGACAAAUGCCUUACAUCUCUGAGACUUUGAACAUUAUUUCCAUGUACACUUUUUAUCCCGGUAAAUGAUUUACUAUCCCCAUCCGAAGUGAAAUGAGAUAUUUGAAGGUGGUCACUGACAUCAGCUGCACAUCUGCGACUAUACUCUCCCUCAUUACCUAUUGGGAAAUCUUCCGCAAUAUUAGCUGUACAUAUACCAGCAUGGUUUGGACAUGUUACAUUUUUCCCUUUUACCUCUCAAUUUUGAGGCAAUUAAACACAAUUUAUUACCAGUAUAAAGAGAGAUCAUUUUUUUUAUUUUUUGUCAUAUUUUCACACAUAACUUGGGUAACUUGUGUACCCCCCUGAAAAGGUGUGCUGCCAUUACUAAAAAUUGGGUUAUUAUACCUAGCAUCAGAUUCAACUCGAACCAACUUUUCAUUGGAUAGACCAAGUGUUUUGUUGUCAUUUGCCAAAUUUUUCCUUAUAUUUUCCAUGUCAUCUUUAUUUACUUUUUCCACAACUUUUGAAACUUUAUUUGCAGAUUUCUGCAAAGCCUAAUGAAGAAGGGAAGAUAAUAUUGGCUGCAUUUAGGAUUUCACUAAAGUUUUUGUUUGAUAUUGGUGUAUGUAUUAGACCUACUUGUGCACCAAUGUUAACCAUGGCAGCCCUUCUGCCUCUUUUUAUAGAUUCAACUUCUUCAUAUAAUUUAUGAAAUGCACUUUUGAAUCCACAUAUAUUACAUUGAAACCUUUCUUGCCAUGCUAAUCCCCAUUUUACUUGAGCCUCUGUGUCAAAUUUUAAAUCACCCUUACAGUCUUGUUUAUACAACAUGAGAUUUUUCAUUUCAGUGUUAAUCAUGUACUGAAGAGCAUUCUGUUGAAAAAUCUUAUAUGUGAAUUGGUCUGCAGAUGACACAUUAGCUUUAAGGUAUGUAUCAACUAAUGUUAUUUUUUUGGGGUUUUGGCCGCAAAAGUUUACAAUUUGCAAUUGUGCCGUGCCGUCUGCAUUUUGCACUGACAAAACACCAUCUAAACAUUUAUUUACUCUGGAUUUAUGCACAUCAGAAUCCAGUCUCACAUACUUAAAAAUUUCACAAUUCUUACCAAAUUUAAUUUUUUUACCAGCAUUCCAAGGGACAUAACCCUUUUUAAAUCCAUUUUGAGGUAUUUUUUUAUUACUCCUCUCUUCCCAUUUUCUAAUAAAAAAUACAAUAAAGUGGACUUUUUUGUGUAAAUCUAUAAGAAAUAUACUGUAAUAAUUAAAUAAUAUGACUUUGAUAUCACAAACAUUAAAUGAUUAACUGAAAGGGAACCGUUAUUUGUCACACUCAGGAACAGACCAAAAACUCAAGUUAUACAUAAGGACUUAUAGAAACUUCCGUGGAGACUGUUAACAUUUAUAGAGACAGUUCUUUCAGCUAAAACACUUUUCUUAUUGAUUUAACAUAACAUUUCUUACAUUUAUUUGGGAAAAUAAUCACAUUUGUUUUAUUUUUUAGCCAAAAGAUGUCAAGUUUUGAUGAAAAAAGAAGGAAAAAUGGACCAAAACAGACCAAAACAGACCUUCAAAUGAACUCAAAAAGGUGCAAUAAAAUUGUUUAUCAUCUUAAAGUUGUCUUUUGUAUCCUAUUUAAUUGUUUCAAUGCAUAGAUGAUGAGUAUAUGAUCAGAUAUUAGUCAAAACUGUAUUUUAUGAUGAUACACUGACAUUAGGAUUUUUCGUAGAAAUUAAACUGAAAUCGCCAUAGAAUAUGACCUUACAAUAAAGUGAUUUUCUCUGAAACUAUAGCUCUGACUGAGACAAAACUUGGCAGUUAUGCUUGAAAUAACUUGCAAUUGGAGGGAAAAAAUGACAUUCAGUUUAUUUGACAUUUAGGUGUUAUUUAGGUGUAAUACCACCAAAUCAUGGUACGUCACAUCCGGUUGUAUACAAAAGUAGGUCUAAAAAAAAUAUUCCCUUGAAUUUGACAGUUGUAGAAAAUUAACCCUGCAUUUCAAUGCACCUUAAUUUUUCUGAGUCAUUAACAUGUAUGUUGGAUGUCUGAAAGCAUCAUUCUUUUUUAAUUUGAUGGUCUUAUAAAAUAUUUUGGAAAGUUGAGGUUACAUAGUUACCAAAGCAGGUAACCAGUAAAUAACACUGUAAAAAUUUGGGUUGUUUACUUCCGGUGAUGGUUACUUUCUUAUAUGCAAUGAAAUGUAGUGUGAAAUUUUUACUGUAGCACUGGAAAGGAUUAAACUUUAUACAUGCAAAGUAUUUCUUAAGUUGAAAUGAAGGUAAAUACUGUACAAUUUUUUUAAAAAUGUCAAUUUAACAAAGACUAAUAGGGAAAAAUCAAUGGUGGUAUUACACCUGUAGGGGCCUCGGUGGCAGAGUGGUUACUACUGUAAUCACUAGCUAUUCAACACUGAGCUUGUGAGUUCAAACCUGCUCGGGUGGGUGCACUAGACUCCAAUCUUAAUUGACUAUAGGGUUGCCAGUUUCAUUAUCAAAGGUCAGUUGUUUUCUCUGGGCACUCUGACUUCCUCCACCAAUAAAAACUGGUCACCAUGAAAUAUCCCAAAAGUGGUGUAAAAACAACAACAAUCAAUCAAUGUUGCUGUGCAUAUUUGUUCUGUCUAAUGUUGAAACAUUUAAAAAAACACUUGACAAAAUUAAUUGAUUUUUUAUUUUUAAUUUCAUAUCAUCUACAUGUUACUAACUAAAUGUAUCAUACAAAAGCCUAUCAUAACUGGUGAUGUGUUUUGGUUGUUGUGGAAUUGAGUUCUAGCAAAUUUCACAGCAGGUUGAUAUUAAGGGGAGGUAAUAACCCUGUUAACUACUCAUUAUUUGAUAUUUAAUGCAUUAAAUAAUUAAAAGGUUUUGGAUAAUAAAUUGGGUGCUGAAUCUUUAUGUUGAGUAGUUAUUUGGUCCAUUUAAAAAAGGUCAAAAACUGAAGCUGUCAAAUGGAAUUUUAGACCCCCUUUACACAGAUUUGUCAAUAUUUUGAGUUAUAGCUGUUUAACUUUUCUACAGGUUUUUUUUUAAGAGUUUAAAUAACUGAUUCAACAUUGUAUUACAGGUUAGCAUCACAGCUUGUCCUUUUGGAUAAUGUCUGGAGUAGAAUUUGGAUCUUUUUGAGGUGAGAAUAUAUUUAUUUGUCCACAUACAAGAGGGUGGUAAUGGGGGUACCUUUAUAACCAAUAAUGGUAAAAAUUCUUACUGAAUGACGUUUACUGUAAAAUUUGGAGCAUGCAAAGUUUUAGAUGACGAAAAAAUCAAAUAAAUUUUGACGAAUCAAGUUAGUUUUUUUCCCAAAAAAUAACGACAACAAUCAUUAUUUGAGUCCUCAAUUCGGUGCUAACAGUAGCCAAUAAAGACUGUUUGAUGCCUGAUGGUAAAAGCGCAUUACUUUCCUCAUACAAAUUUUAUUAAUUGAUGUAAUCUUAUGGACAGUUUAAAUUUCUAUAAAUCUUUAUUAUUUGCAAUUAUAUAUUUCAUCUUUAUAUUUUCUACUGCAGCCUUUAUAGAUGUAAAUCAGAUGUUUUAAUGUUCAGAAGGCUUAUAGUUCUUUUUAACUUCUUUCUCUUAUACCAUUUAUAAAAUAUUACCUAAUAACCAUGAACUGAAUCAUUAAGAGAACCAUUGUUUUUAUAAUAUUAAAGAAUUGUGAAUACUUGAAAAAGGGAGAUAACCUCACAUUUAUUUGCAAUGAAAUGGCAAGUGCUGUCACAUAGAUAAGAUGUCUUAAUUAUAUUAAUCUGCUUCUUAUUCAGUUUUGUAUUUCUUUAAAAUUAAAUUUCUUCAUUCAAUAUACACGAUUGUCUCCCUUGGACACAGUUAAAAAUCAAGAACAAUGAAAUUUUUUGUGUAAAUUUUAACAAAAUCGUGUUUUAGAGGUUUUUUCACGAUCACGAUCAUGCAGUCGUGACAAAGGGUCAAAAUUGUGUAGUACACGCCUAUAUGGUGAAAAUUGGCAGGCAUGAAUAUAUGGAGAAAACAAAGUAAAUGUCAUAAAACUAGAAUCAAACAAUGAAAGAUUAUUGAAAUAUCCUGAAUAAUUAUAAUUUUAUCAUGUAUUCAAAUUUUCAGCUAAAUAGCUGCUGCUUUUGUUUGACACUCAAUAAAUGAUUAAUUCAAUACUCGGGUAAUAGUAAUGUUAACAAAUUGAAAAUCAAAAUUAGCUUAUUAAAAUGGCUUUCUAUUUUAUAACAAAUUUAGCUGCACAAUCUCUGUUGCAAUUUUUUUUGGUAAAAUCAAUAAAUUUGAAUAAAAAUCAUGUUUUUAUAUACAACAAAAUCUGUCUAUUUAAAAGAAAAAUUACCACUCAAAUAUUUAAACAUUACCCAAUUCAUAUAUUUUAACAUUACUUGAAAUUACGAUGGAUUGUCACGAAAUGAAGUAUCAUUUUAUUUCUUUUACAGGUGCCCUUGUGUGGUCAAUCCAAUGGACAAUAACAAUCAUGCAGACC